rnacentral:misc_RNA from 1 species
GAUGAAGAACGUAGCGAAAUGCGAUAAGUAGUGUGAAUUGCAGAAUUCAGUGAAUCAUCGAAUCUUUGAACGCACAUUGCGCCCUUUGGUAUUCCUUAGGGCAUGCUUGUUCGAGCGUCAUUUAAACCUUCAAGCUCAGCUUGGUGUUGGGUGACUGUCCGCUUCACCGCGGACUCGCCUCAAAAUUAUUGGCGGCCGGUACAUUGGCUUCGAGCGCAGCAGAAACGCGAACUCGGGCCCGUCGUAUUGGCUCCCAGAAGCUAUCUUCACAAUUUUGACCUCGGAUCAGGUAGGGAUACCCGCUGAACUUAAGCAUACAAUAAGCGGAGGA